CCGCAGCGUCCUGGGCCGAUGCAGUGACAACACUGGAUCCUUAACCUGCUGUGCCACAAGGGAACUCCUCCAGUUUCUCCCUUGAUCUAUUUUACAAAGGAAGAUCUACGGAAGCCCAAAGAUCCUGAGUGAGUGAUCACUCCGGCUGCACAGGGUAAGCCGGGACACAAGGACAAAGGGCAAUGCUGACACACUGAGCCUGAGUGUUUCCUCUCCAGACGAGACCUGCACUGCUGGAACCAGCCAUCUGGCCAAGGUUGCAGGAGGGAGGAGAUGGGACAGAAAGGUUUCUGAGUUGGUGGACACUGGCAGUCUAGGUCACCUGAGAGUGAGGUUUUGGUCUCUGUGCUGCUGCAGGAUGAUUUCUGCUCCUGGGGGUGAGCAGGCAGCUUUGCUUCACUUAACUUGGUGUUUGCUACUUUAUUUAUUCCUUGUCUACAUCCACGGCUGUAAUAGCAUUGUANUAUCGAUCUAUCUCUCUAUUUCUCUAUCUCUCUACAAGUACAAAUGAAAGAAAGUUCACAAUACAGAAGCCCAGAGUUCCCGUCGUGGUGCAGCAGAAACGAAUCUGACUAGGAACCAUAAGGUUGUGGGUUCGAUCCCUGGCCUUGCUCAGUGGGUUAAGGAUUCGGCAUUGCCAUGAGCUGUGGUUUAGGUUGCAGACGUGGCUUGGAUCUGGCAUUGCUGUGGCUCUGGUGUAGGCUGGUGGCUACAGCUCCGAUUAGACCCCUAGCCUGGGAAUCUCCAUAUGCCGCAGGUGCGGCCCUAAAAGGACAAAAGACAAAAAAAUAAAUAAAUAAAUAGAGAAGCCCUUUCCAGAGUCCCCAGUUUACUGGUGUUUUUAUUUAAAACCAUAUAUUCAUCAUAUCGUUUUUCAUGAACAUACAUUUACUUUAUUGCUUACACUUAAGGACAUUAAACAAUUAACCAGUGCAUUCAGCAAUGAUUAUUGUCUGGCCCUAAAAGAUAUGGAGUCAAUAUUGGGAAGAGGAUUUGAUCCCCAAAUCAGAGACAUUUCCCAGACCCUAAUUCAAUUAAGAAAGCCCCAACAAGUAGUUCCUGCUUUAGCACAGUGCGUUAGGAUCCAGCAUUGUCUCUGUGGUGCGUGGGUUCAAUCCCCAGCCUAGUGCAGUGGGUUAAGGAUCUGGUGUUGCCGUGGCUGUGGCUUAGGUUGCAGUUGUGACUCAGAUUCCAUCCCUGGCCCAAGUAAUUCCAUAUGCUGCAGGUGCAGUAGAAAAAGAAAAAAAAAU
rnacentral:lncRNA from 1 species